ensembl:lncRNA
AGAAAAGGUAAGAAUCAAGUCUCAUCUUCUGAGUUUCACCACAGCCUUUUAAAUAUCACAGCAGAGAGAGUAGUUAAGACUGUCCUGAAUCUUAAGCUUUUGAAUAUUCUGUUUUUUAGGGAUUUGGAAUGUAAUAUUCAUACCAUAAACAGCAGAUGUGGAGAAAUACUGGCUGAGACAUUUUUUCCCCUUGCCUCAGAGGAGUUGAAACUAUCUGGGAGCUGGGAGAAGGGUCAGAGCUGGAUGGGAGAGCAACUGAGUUGGAGAGUGACUAUCUGGGUGGGGCUUCAAGCCUGCCUCAGCGCCUCUCUGUGAACUUCAGGAGUCUUUGGAGUCUGUGAGAAGAGGAAGAAGAAAGAGCACAGCCCCUUUCCCAGAUGGAGGGUGUGGCUGGCCCGAGUGGCCAUCGCAGAGCUGGCGGUGACAAGUGCCAUCUGCCAUGGCGGUUCAGCUCUGGCCUUUUCCCAGAACGGCAGCAUCAGUGUUACAGUUCCUUGUGAAAUUGGAGAAGUUAAUUAUACUUUAAAACUUUUUUCUGUUGCCUUAAAGAUGCUGACUUUGGUAUACAAGUAAAAAUAUACAUGUGUAAAGUGGAAGAAUUACGUGAUGAAUUUUUACUUGAAUGUGGGCAUUAAAACUAAGUUCUAGAGCCAGAUUGGCUGAGUUUGAGGCCUGGUUCUGUUGCUUACCAGUCCUUUGACAGGGAAAGUUACACAAUCCUUCUGAGCCUCAGUUUCCUAUCCACAAAAUGGGAGUGGUAACAGUAUGUACUGCACAGUCAUGAGAGCUAAAUGAAAUUGUGUGGGUAAAGCACUUAGGAGCACACAGCACACAUUCAAUACAUGCUAUUAUCAUCAUCAUCAAUAUCACCAGUCAUUUAAAUAAUAGGCUCCUUUAUUACAUUUCCCCCCAACAGACCCCAGUGUGUGGUGCUCCCCUCCCUGUGUCCAUGUGUUCUCAUUGUUCAACACCCGCCUAUGAGUGAGAAUGUGUAGUGUUUGAUUUUCUGUUCUUGUGUCAGUUUGCUGAGAAUGAUGGUUUCCAGGUUCAUCCAUGUCCCUACAAAGGACACGAACUCUUCGUUUUCGAUUGCUGCAUAAUAUUCCAUGGUGUAUAUGUGCCACAUUUUCCCUGUCCAGUCUACCAUCGAUGGGCAUUUGGGUUGGUUCCAGGUCUUUGCUAUUGUAAACAGUGCUGCAAUGAACAUUCGUGUGCAUGUGUCCUUAUAGUAGAACGAUUUAUAAUCCUUUGGCUAUAUACCCAGUAAUGGGAUUGCUGGGUCAAAUGGAAUUUUUAUUUCUAGGUCCUUGAGGAAUCGCCACACUUUCUUCCACAAUGGUUGAACUAAUUUACACUCCCACCAACAGUGUAAAAGUGUUCCUAUUUCUCCACAUCCUCUCCAGCAUCUGUUGUCUCCAGGUUUUUUAAAGAUAGCCAUUCUAACUGGCGUGACAUGGUAUCUCAAUGUGGUUUUGAUUUGCAUUUCUCUAAUGACCAGUGAUGAUGAGCAUUUUUCAUAUGUUUGUUGGCCUCAUGUAUGUCUUCUUUUGUAAAGCGUCUGUUCACAUUCUUUGCCCACUUUUGAAUGGGCUAGUUUGUUUUUUUCUUGUAAAUCCAUUUUAGUUCUCUGUAAAUUCUGGAUAUCAGCCCUUUGUCAGAUGGGUAAACUGCAAAAAUUUUUCCCAUUCUGUUGGUAGCAGAUUCACUCUAAUCACUGUUUCUUUUGCUGUGCAGAAGCUGUGGAGUUUGAUUAGGUUCAUUUGUCUAUUUUGGCUUUUGUUGCCAAUGCUUUUGGUGUUUCAGUCAUGAAGUCCUUGCCUACACCUAUGUCCUGAAUGGUUUUGCCUAGAUUUUCUUCUAGGGUUUUAAUGGUGUUAGGUCUUAUGUUUAAGUAUUUAAUCCAUCUGGAGUUAAUUUUAGUGUAAGGUGUCAGGAAGGGGUCCAGUUUCUGCUUUCUGCAUAUGGCUAGCCAGUUUUCCCAACACCAUUUAUUAAACAGGGAAUCCUUUCCCCAUUGCUUGUUUUUGUCAGGUUUGUCAAAGAUCGGAUGGUUGUAGAUAUGUUGUGCUGCCUCCAAGGCCUCUGUUCUGUUCCAUUGGUCUAUAUCUCUGUUUCAGUACCAGUACAAUGCUGUUUUGAUUACUGUAGCCUUGUAGUAUAGUUUGAAGUCAGGUAGUGUGAUGCCUUCUGAUUUGUUCUUUUUGCUUAGAAUUGACUUGGCUACGCGGGCUCUCUUUUGGUUCCAUAUGAAGUUUAAGGUGGUUUUUUCCAGUUCUGUGAAGAAGGUCAUUGGUAGCUUGAUGGGGAUAGCAUUGAAUCUGUAAAUUACUUUGGGCAGUAUGGCCAUUUUCACAAUAUUGAUUCUUCCUAACCAUGAAC